AUCCCUACGGGAGGCAGCAGUGAGGAAUAUUGGUCAAUGGACGAGAGUCUGAACCAGCCAAGUAGCGUGAAGGAUAACUGCCCUAUGGGUUGUAAACUUCUUUUAUAAAGGAAUAAAACGAGGCACGUGUGCCUUUUUGCAUGUACUUUAUGAAUAAGGAUCGGCUAACUCCGUGCCAGCAGCCGCGGUAAUACGGAGGAUCCGAGCUUUAUCCGGAUUUAUUGGGUUUAAAUGUAGCGUAGAUGGGUUGUUAAGUCAGUUGUGAACGUUUGCUGCUCAACCGUAAACUUGCAAUUGAUACUGGC
rnacentral:rRNA from 1 species